rnacentral:rRNA from 1 species
AGGGUGUAAACGCUGCGGGCUUGGUGUUGGGGGUCCUUUGAGGGCGCCCAGUGCCGGAGAGAAGUUGUUAAGCCUGCUGCUUGGGGAGUACGUCCGCAAGGAUGAAACUUAAAGGAAUUGGCGGGGGAGCACCGCAACGGGAGGAGCGUGCGGUUCAAUUGGAUUCAACGCCGGACAACUCACCAGGAGCGACGGUUACAUGAAGGCCAGGCUGAAGACUUUGCCGGAUUAGCUGAGAGGAGGUGCAUGGCGUAGUCGUGU